CGGGGGCAUCCCUGUUGGUUCAAAGGAGCGAUCCGGCUGCGGAUGGUCAUGCGGCGCAUUAGCUAGUUGGCGGGGCAACGGCCCACCAAGGCGACGAUGCGUAGGGGUUCUGAGAGGGAGGUCCCCCACACUGGUACUGAGACACGGACCAGACUCCUACGGGAGGCAGCAGUGAGGAAUAUUGGUCAAUGGCCGAGAGGCUGAACCAGCCAAGUCGCGUGAGGGAUGACGGCCCUACGGGUUGUAAACCUCUUUUGCCGGGGAGCAAAGAGCGGGACGCGUCCCGCCUCGAGAGUACCCGGAGAAAAAGCAUCGGCUAACUCCGUGCCAGCAGCCGCGGUAAUACGGAGGAUGCGAGCGUUAUCCGGAUUUAUUGGGUUUAAAGGGUGCGCAGGCGGAAGCGCAAGUCAGCGGUAAAAUUGAGAGGCUCAACCUCUUCCCGCCGUUGAAACUGCGUUUCUUGAGUGGGCGAGAAGUACGCGGAAUGCGUGGUGUAGCGGUGAAAUGCAUAGAUAUCACGCAGAACUCCGAUUGCGAAGGCAGCGUACCGGCGCCCAACUGACGCUCAUGCACGAAAGCGUGGGUAUCGAACAGGAUUAGAUACCCUGGUAGUCCACGCAGUAAACGAUGAAUACUCGCUGUCCGGGGAGAUUGGUCUCUGGGCGGCCAAGCGAAAGCAUUAAGUAUUCCACCUGGGGAGUACGCCGGCAACGGUGAAACUCAAAGGAAUUGACGGGGGCCCGCACAAGCGGAGGAACAUGUGGUUUAAUUCGAUGAUACGCGAGGAACCUUACCCGGGCUCAAACGACGGAUGAAUACUUUUGAAAGGAGGUAGUCCUUCGGGACAUCCGUCGAGGUGCUGCAUGGUUGUCGUCAGCUCGUGCCGUGAGGUGUCGGCUUAAGUGCCAUAACGAGCGCAACCCCCAUCGCCAGUUGCCAACAGGUAAAGCUGGGAACUCUGGCGAGACUGCCGGCGCAAGCUGUGAGGAAGGCGGGGAUGACGUCAAAUCAGCACGGCCCUUACGUCCGGGGCGACACACGUGUUACAAUGGCAGGUACAGAGAGAUGCGACACGGCGACGUGGAGCGGAACUGUCAAAACCUGUCUCAGUUCGGAUCGGAGUCUGCAACCCGACUCCGUGAAGCUGGAUUCGCUAGUAAUCGCGCAUCAGCCAUGGCGCGGU
rnacentral:rRNA from 1 species